rnacentral:rRNA from 1 species
AGCGAACGCUGGCGGCAGGCCUAACACAUGCAAGUCGAGCGAAUCAAUAGGAGCUUGCUCCUGGUGGUCAGCGGCGGACGGGUGAGUAACACGUGGGCAACCUGCCUGUAAGACUGGGAUAACACCGGGAAACCGGUGCUAAUACCGGAUAGUCCUUUUCCUCUCAUGAGGAAAAGCUGAAAGUCGGUUUCGGCUGACACUUACAGAUGGGCCCGCGGCGAAUUAGCUAGUUGGUGAGGUAACGGCUCACCAAGGCGACGAUGCGUAGCCGACCUGAGAGGGUGAUCGGCCACACUGGGACUGAGACACGGCCCAGACUCCUACGGGAGGCAGCAGUAGGGAAUCUUCCACAAUGGACGAAAGUCUGAUGGAGCAACGCCGCGUGAGCGAUGAAGGCCUUCGGGUCGUAAAGCUCUGUUGUUAGGGAAGAACAAGUACCGGAGUAACUGCCGGUACCUUGACGGUACCUAACCAGAAAGCCACGGCUAACUACGUGCCAGCCGCCGCGGUAAAAC